AACGGAAAGGCCGUGCUUGCACUGGUACUCGAGUGGCGAACGGGUGAGUAACACGUGGGUGAUCUGCCCUGCACUUCGGGAUAAGCCUGGGAAACUGGGUCUAAUACCGGAUAGGACCACAUUUUGGAUGGUGUGGUGGAAAGUUUUUCGGUGUGGGAUGAGCUCGCGGCCUAUCAGCUUGUUGGUGGGGUAAUGGCCUACCAAGGCGUCGACGGGUAGCCGGCCUGAGAGGGUGUACGGCCACAUUGGGACUGAGAUACGGCCCAGACUCCUACGGGAGGCAGCAGUGGGGAAUAUUGCACAAUGGGCGCAAGCCUGAUGCAGCGACGCCGCGUGGGGGAUGACGGCCUUCGGGUUGUAAACUCCUUUCGCUAGGGACGAAGCGUAUUUGUGACGGUACCUGGAGAAGAAGCACCGGCUAACUACGUGCCAGCAGCCGCGGUAAUACGUAGGGUGCGAGCGUUGUCCGGAAUUACUGGGCGUAAAGAGCUCGUAGGUGGUUUGUCGCGUCGUUUGUGUAAGCCCGCAGCUUAACUGCGGGACUGCAGGCGAUACGGGCAUAACUUGAGUGCUGUAGGGGAGACUGGAAUUCCUGGUGUAGCGGUGGAAUGCGCAGAUAUCAGGAGGAACACCGAUGGCGAAGGCAGGUCUCUGGGCAGUAACUGACGCUGAGGAGCGAAAGCAUGGGUAGCGAACAGGAUUAGAUACCCUGGU
rnacentral:rRNA from 1 species